rnacentral:lncRNA from 1 species
UUUAAAAUAUAUUCGUGUGUGUGUGUGUGUGUGUGUGUGUGUGUGUGUGUGUGUGUGUGUGUACUUUCAUGAAUGUGCCCACAGAUGUUAAAUCCCUCAGAGCUGGAGUUAGCCUGGAGUUGUCAACUACAUGAGUGGUGGGAUUUAAAUUCAGGUCCUAGUUUAUGAGGUGGCACACCUGUUAUCCCAGCACUCAGGAAGCAGAGCCAGGUGGAUCUUUGUGAGUGUGAGGCCAGCCUGGUCUAUAUAGUGAGUUCCAGGACAGCCAGGGCUGCAUUGUGAUACCCUGUCUAGAAAAAACAACAGAAAAGAUUAAGAAAUAUUUUUUAUGUGUAUGGUGUUUUGCCUGCAUGUAUGACUUGUGCAUCACAUGUAUGCAUUGCCCAUGAGGUCAGAAGAGGGUGUCAGAUCUCCAGGAACUGGAGUUAGAGGUGUGAGCCACUGUGUGAGUUUUAGAAACUAAACCUGUGUGGUGAUAUCUUGCUGAUACAAAUAAAGCCUGCCUGAAGAUCAGAGGAUGGAACUUGCCACUAGCUAACCAUAGAGGUUUGGAGUUCUGUAUAGACAGACAGGAAGUGAGAUGGCUGGGUGGAAACAGGAAGUGAGAUGGCUGGGAGAAGAGAAAACAUAAGAGGGAAGAAACAGGGCAAAGGAGGUAAUUUUGGCUUUGGCUUGCUCCUUCUUCUCUCUGAUCUCCCAGCAUUUCCCUCUAUAUCUGACUCUGGGUUUUUAUUAUUUAGACCAAUUUGGAACUCCUGUUUACAUUUUGGUGCUCAACAAGGCCAGAACAUUAACAUCAGGACAGGGGCAAAUUGCCCCACAUGGACCCCUGAGAAAGCCACCAGCUCUCGUGGACUUGCUCAUUCAAAAUGCAAAAGUUGGACAACAUUCGGACAAGUCAGACCAGAGGAGCUUCAGUGUCAUUGGACUUCCUUUGGCAGCACACCUAUGACACCUGCUGGCCAAACAUCAUCAUUGCAAUUUAAGAUAAGGCCAUAAGAGGCACAGACGAUCUUCUAAGGAUUUGAGCAUCCCAACUGAACCAACACUCAAUCUGGGAGCUAGAGAGCUGGCUUUGUGGUUAAGAAGAACAUUUGCCUCUCAAGCAGGAACUUGGAUUUUGAUCCUACAGGAUGUUGAUGGUCAGCACCCACAUGGUGGCCCAAAAAUAUCUAUAACACCAGUUUCAGGGGAUCUGAUGUCCUCUUCUGACCUCUAUGGAUCCCAUGCACACAUGUAAUGCACACAUCUAUGCAGGCAAAACACUCAUAAAAAAUAAAUAAAACUUCUCAAUCCUAACUGGCUGCA